CGUAGGGUGAACCUGCGGAGGGAUCAUUACACAAUAAAAUACGAAGGCCGUUCGCGGCUGGACUAUUUAUUACCCUUGUCUUUUGCGCACUUGUUGUUUCCUGGGCGGGUUCGCUCGCCACCAGGACCACAAUAUAAACCUUUUUUAUGCAGUUGCAAUCAGCGUCAGUAUAACAAAUGUAAAUCAUUUACAACUUUCAACAACGGAUCUCUUGGUUCUGGCAUCGAUGAAGAACGCAGCGAAAUGCGAUACGUAGUGUGAAUUGCAGAAUUCAGUGAAUCAUCGAAUCUUUGAACGCACAUUGCGCCCUUUGGUAUUCCAAAGGGCAUGCCUGUUCGAGCGUCAUUUGUACCCUCAAGCUUUGCUUGGUGUUGGGCGUUUUUGUCUUUGGCCCGCCAAAGACUCGCCUUAAAAUGAUUGGCAGCCGGCCUACUGGUUUCGCAGCGCAGCACAUUUUUGCGCUUGCAAUCAGCAAAAGAGGACGGCAAUCCAUCAAGACUCCUUCUCACGUUUGACCUCGGAUCAGGUAGGGAUACCCGCUGAACUUAAGCAUAUCAAUAAGCCCGGAGGA
rnacentral:rRNA from 1 species